UACGUAGGGUGCAAGCGUUGUCCGGAAUUAUUGGGCGUAAAGAGCUCGUAGGCGGUUUGUCGCGUCUGCUGUGAAAACUCGGGGCUUAACCCCGGGCCUGCAGUGGGUACGGGCAGACUAGAGUGCGGUAGGGGAGACUGGAAUUCCUGGUGUAGCGGUGAAAUGCGCAGAUAUCAGGAGGAACACCGGUGGCGAAGGCGGUUCUCUGGGCAUGGCCUGACGCUGAGGAGCGAAAGUGUGGGGAGCGAACAGG
rnacentral:rRNA from 1 species